GUGGCAUACGGCUCAGUAACACGUAGUCAACAUGCCCAGGGGACGUGGAUAACCUCGGGAAACUGAGGAUAAACCGCGAUAGGCCAAGAUUUCUGGAAUGAGUCAUGGCUCAAAUCUAUAUGGCCCCUGGAUUGGACUGCGGCCGAUCAGGCUGUUGGUGAGGUAAUGGCCCACCAAACCUGUAACCGGUACGGGCUCUGAGAGGAGGAGCCCGGAGAUGGGCACUUAGACAAGGGCCCAGGCCCUAUGGGGCGCAGCAGGCGCGAAACCUCUGCAAUAAGCGAAAGCUUGACAGGGUUACUCUGAGUGAUUUCCGCUAAGGAAGUCUUUUGGCACCUCUAAAAAUGGUGCAGAAUAAGGGGUGGGCAAGUCUGGUGUCAGCCGCCGCGGUAAUACCAGCACCCCGAGUGGUCGGGACGAUUAUUGGGCCUAAAGCAUCCGUAGCCGGCCUUACAAGUCCUCCGUUAAAUCCAGCUGCUUAACAGAUGGGCUGCGGAGGAUACUAUAAGACUAGGAGGCAGGAGAGGCAAGCGGUACUCAGUGGGUAGGGGUAAAAUCCGUUGAUCCAUUGAAGACCACCAGUGGCGAAGGCGGCUUGCCAGAAUGCGCUCGACGGUGAGGGAUGAAAGCUGGGGGAGCAAACCGGAUUAGAUACCCGGGUAGUCCCAGCCGUAAACGAUGCAGACUCGGUGAUGGACUAGCUUUAUGCUG
rnacentral:rRNA from 1 species